GCGGGAAGCCCACUCCAAGAUAAGAUAUCCCGUACCAUUAGGUACCUGAAGGCUCGUUGAAGACUACAACGUUGAUAGGCCAGGUGUGGAAGGGCAGUAAUGUCCGGAGCUUACUGGUACUAAUAAGCCGUGCGGCUUGAUCAU
rnacentral:rRNA from 1 species